CCCAAAAAAAAAAUAUAUAUAUAUAUAUGUCUUUAGGAUGUUAUCAUCUUAAUGUUAGAUAAAACCCUAACUAGAACUUCAUGUGAAUGUUAGCUAAUGUCCUGCGAAUGUUCCUGGUAUUCUGCGGUUAUACUCAACUCGUUUUUCCUGUGUUAUUACUGUAUGGUUGCAUACCAGCUAAAACACCAUUUUAAAAGGUUGGACAGAGCUUAUAAAUGUGUUCUUAACUGAUUUGCCUGGUUAAAUAAAGGUUUAAUAACAAAAUAAAAAAGUUUUAAAACAAGGCUGAAAGACCAACCGAAGGGAAGAUCAAACAACUUUGAAAAUGAGGUCAUUUCCACACAUCCUUUGAUCUGUCCAUUUGUCAUGUAGGAGACGAAUGGCGUACAGAGGGAUCUAUCAUAGCGACCAGCUUUAAGCCCCCAAAAUUACAAACAAACUAAAGGCGAAGGAUCGAUAGAGAGUGUCUCACGGAAUGAUGAACUGGCACUUCGGGGUAGGGGAAAAUCAAUGUCUCUCACUCUCUUUCUUCUCUCUCUCUUUCGCCCUCUCUCUCUUUCGCACCACCACACACUAGUGUUUUACUGUGUGUUUACUGAGUCUGUGUGGGUUUUCUUACCACAGUGAUUUAACAUCCAAAUGUUUAUUUUUCCCUCUUCCAGCAUCGACACUUUGACCUGUGAGAGAGAGGAGAGUCCUAUAAUGGCCCAUAGGAUAAGCAGUAAAAAAACAACUGAGGAGCAUCUGUUUGUGGAUCCAGUCCAUGUCAACCUUCAGAGCAACCAGACAUCUUCCCACUAACACAUCUGACUUCUGCUGAAAGGUACUGUAAUAUUGAAGGAUAUUACUAUAUUAUUAAUCAAGAUUUGGUAGAAGUAGUUUCAGCCGUGGAUAGUUUAAUAGUUGGGUCGUUCCACCAAUUGAGAACCUUUUGGGUAGUGUAACUUGGUAAGAAAUAUAUAUACAGUACCCGUCAAAAGUUUGGACACCUAUCUCAGUCAAGGGUUUUUCUUCAUUUGUACUAUUUUCUACAUUGGUUCCAACCGCCGUGUCUUUGUGGCCUCCACAAUCUCCCGACCUCAACCCAAUUGAGAUGGUUUGGGAUGAGUUGGACCGCAGAGUGAAGGAAAAGCAGCCAAUAAGUGCUCAGCAUAUGUGGGAACCUUCAAGACUGUUGUAAAAGCAUUCCAGGUGACUUCCUCGUAAAGCUGGUUGAGAGAAUGCCAAGAGUGUGCAAAAGCUGUCAUCAAGGCAAAGGGUGGCUUUGAAGAAUCUAAAACAUAAAACAUAUUUUGAUUUGUUUAAUACAUUUUUAGUUACGACAUGAUUCCAUA
rnacentral:lncRNA from 13 species